GAAAAAUCCAGCUCAGGGAGAAGACAGCGCCGGCAGCAGCUCUGUAGGCUCAGGGCUGAGGAUCCGGUAAUGAAGUCUUUCUGGAAGAAUACUGUGCUCACAGCUGUUGGAUCAUUUGUCAGAUCCUACUGUAGUUAGCUUUUGUAUCUAUUUUUUGUUAUACCGUGAGCUUCCGGUGGAGACUUCCUCAAGUUUGCACCCAAAACACAUAAUGAGAAAACUUAACAUAGUGGCUUAUGCAACUCGCCUAAGGUCAUAUGAGAGGAAAGCAGCAGAAUCCAGACCUGACCCCAGCAGUGUUGUCCAAUUUCAGAGGUAGUAAAACAGUCAUUGACUAUCUUUACCAUGAUCCCAUGGUAAGAUACACAUUUUACAUCAUAAGUAUGUGUAGGCAUAUGGCUGUAUCUAAAGUAUAAAUAUGUUUCACAAAAUAAUACCCUUACUACCUGUGUGCAUUCUGAUAGUUUCUCCUCAUUUUAAUUUUUAAAAAUGUUUGACCAACUUACUGAUUUAAUGAUCUAUUAAUGAGUCAAAACUGCACUUUGAAAAACUGCUUGUCUAAAUUACAAUUUAUCCAACUGUUCUGACCCUUCAGCUACUUCAACCUCUACCAGAAAAACUGAUGGCUCUCAGUUCAGAUAUUCAUAUUUCAUGUAUAUUCCAGAUGAAGUCGUUAUUAAUUAUUAAGAUACUGAUCACCCACCCUGACUCAGACCUACUCCCCAUUGCAAACUCUUUUGCAUUUAUGGAAAAAUAUCUCAUCAGGGAGUCCAGCCAUCUCUAAGUUCGGUCCGUUCCAUCUGGCUACUCACUGGAAGGACGGUAAUCCUUUCCCCAUCAGAGCAUAGCUGAGGCUAAAAUAUAAUGAAUUGCCUGGUACAGUGACCAUCCAAGGGCACACCAAGAAGUAUAAAGACCUCUGUCUUUGUCUCUACUAGCAGAUGUUGCCUCAUUAGACAAAAAAUCAUGGGCUUUAUUUAUCUUUAGGUAUGUUGCUCAACCAAACGAAGCCAGAAUAUAAAUUAUGUAUAUGAGUGUGCUCAUGUACUCACAGGAUGAAUAAAGAUUCAAACCCACGACCAGUCAUUCUGAGGAACAACA